UCUGAUACUGGCAAGCUUGAGUCUCGUAGAGGGGGGUAGAAUUCCAGGUGUAGCGGUGAAAUGCGUAGAGAUCUGGAGGAAUACCGGUGGCGAAGGCGGCCCCCUGGACGAAGACUGACGCUCAGGUGCGAAAGCGUGGGGAGCAAACAGGAUUAGAUACCCUGGUAGUCCACGCCGUAAACGAUGUCGACUUGGAGGUUGUGCCCUUGAGGCGUGGCUUCCGGAGCUAACGCGUUAAGUCGACCGCCUGGGGAGUACGGCCGCAAGGUUAAAACUCAAAUGAAUUGACGGGGGCCCGCACAAGCGGUGGAGCAUGUGGUUUAAUUCGAUGCAACGCGAAGAACCUUACCUGGUCUU
rnacentral:rRNA from 1 species